UAACCUCUAUUUAUUGGGGCAGGGGGGUAGAAGGACACUUUCUCUGCAGGCACGUUGCCCCAUAGCUGUCUACUAGAGAGUUUCUUCCUCUGGAGGAGCUGGUAUUGGACACUGUCAAAGAUGGGAUACUGGAUUAGAUGGACUACCAGUCUGAGACAAUCCAGCAAUCCCUAUAUUAAACUGCAGCGCAACACAUCUGAGCUGCUGAGUGGAGCAUCUGUCCAAGGUCACAAUACCCCUCAGAAAACUCCUGGCAGUUGUUUGAGUGUGGUGAUCCUUUUCCAAGACUGCAAAAACUGACCACGGCUCCACAAAGCAAGAAUCCCACUGCAGUUCCACAAACCAAUGAGAUGUACUAUACAUCAGGCUCUUUAUGAUCAGAUACAAGUCAGUCUGUAUGUUUGACUUGAUCUGUGGUAUCUCACACAACAAAGGGCGCUUGGCAUCUUUCAGCGGAUGAAAGUAGAGAAGAAAUAUUGAGCCCCCAUUGCAAAUAGAUGUCCUGAUCCCUCUUAAUCUCUGGAGUGCCAGACACAGCUAAUUGGCACAGAUCCCACAGACGCUGUUUCCAGUCAAAUAGAAAAUGUGUCUAAUAAAUAGCAAAUUCUCCUUCACACAAA